rnacentral:rRNA from 1 species
UAAUACGAAGGGGGCUAGCGUUGCUCGGAUUGACUGGGCGUAAAGGGCGCGUAGGCGGUUUGUACAGUCAGACGUGAAAUUCCUGGGCUCAACCUGGGGGCUGCGUUUGAUACGUGCGAGCUUGAGUUCGGAAGAGGGUCGUGGAAUUCCCAGUGUAGAGGUGAAAUUCGUAGAUAUUGGGAAGAACACCGGUGGCGAAGGCGGCGACCUGGUCCGAUACUGACGCUGAGGCGCGAAAGCGUGGGGAGCAAACAGGAUUAGAUACCCUGGUAGUCCACGCCGUAAACGAUGUGCGCUGGAUGUUGGGUGACAUAGUCAUUCAGUGUCGUAGCUAACGCGAUAAGCGCACCGCCUGGGGAGUACGGCCGCAAGGUUG